rnacentral:rRNA from 1 species
UACGGGGGGGGCAAGCGCUGUUCGGAAUUACUGGGCGUAAAGGGCUCGUAGGUGGCCAACUAAGUCAGACGUGAAAUCCCUCGGCUUAACCGGGGAACUGCGUCUGAUACUGGAUGGCUUGAGUUUGGGAGAGGGAUGCGGAAUUCCAGGUGUAGCGGUGAAUGCGUAGAUAUCUGGAGGAACACCGGUGGCGAAGGCGGCAUCCUGGACCAACACUGACACUGAGGAGCGAAAGCCAGGGGAGCAAACGGG